rnacentral:lncRNA from 1 species
UUAAUAGCAUCAAAUCAGUCUAAUAGUAUUCAUACUAUAUCAUAUUUUUGUGAUACAGGUUUUAGCAGGAUCCAAUAAAUGUGGACGGUUAGAUCACCAUGUUGAUGAUGGACAAAAUCAAGUUGCCGAACUGUCACGUCUAGAAUCUAUUAAGGAGAGAUGCCCUCAUGUCAAAGCUGAGAUGGAGAAAGGUAAUCCUACACUUCAGAAAAAGCAAAUUCCGAUAGUUUUAUGAUAUCAGUAUCAAUUUAUUCAAAUUCUUACUUUUGAUCUUUUUGAUUCCAGCGUCAGGGAUGAUUUUUUUUGUAGACAAAACGCGCUUUUGGCUUACUCAAUUACUACACUGUAACCUUUGACUAUUUUGUCUUCUCUGUUUUACAAAUUAGAUAGAACCGAUGUUCAAAUCUCAUAAAUUCAGAAGAUACAAAAUCAAAUUUAAGAAACAAAAACCAGGAAAUUAUAUUUAACCCAAAAUGAACGAAACAGGAUGCGUGACAUGGUAGGCAUCGGUCUAUACACAUUAUCGCAAUUAAGACUUAACCAAAGAUUCUGCGACACUUAAACUAUUCGCGUCAAACAACAAUCGUUUUUCUAUUGAUACGUCAUAUCCAUUAUUACGUAAACAAAUGACGGGAAUCUUUGUAAUGUCCAAAUGUAUGGCAAACAAAUAACGAUAAGGUGUAUAUUUAAACCUCAUGAAUAGGGCACAAAUAGUAAAUUUACAUAUCAGCUUAUUUUUUGGUAUUGAAAGGUUUUAGACCGCAAAAGCAUAUCGUUAGUGGGUUUAGACGCAUACCCAUCAUUUAGACACAUACACAUUUUGUAUAUAUAUAUAUAUAUAUAUAUAUAUAUAUAUAUAUAUAUAUAGGUCCAUCAAUUAAUAAUCGAUGAUGACCGUAUAACCAUGAUAUGGUUUUCAUUCUUGUUUCCUAAUAAUUAUGCUGUAGCAGUUUUGUGUAUCCUGUUAAUGAGGUCUGUAAAGAACGAAAUUGUAUGUGCGUAACGUAUUCGUUGGUAUGUGUCAUUUCAGUAGGCUGGGACAGAGUGUAAUUGUUCUAUGAUAAUUUUUGUAUUAUUGUCUUUCAUUUUUGCUAAUAUGCUGUGUCUGUAUGCAUUUUGUGUUUCUUUGCUACAUAUGACGUGGCCCUGUGUUUAUAAAUUCCGUCAUUGUGUUAUUGUGCCAUCGUAAAUAUGUGUUUACAUAUUUGUUUGAUUUAUAUUGAUUAAGAUGAUAACCCAAUGUUGACUGAUAUGACGUUUUUACCUAUUAUGUAUAUUUGUUUUGUUCACACGUCGUUUUCAAUAUAAUAGAAUUUAGCUAUAAGAAAAUGUAUGUAUCGAGUAAGGAAUAUGACAGUUGUUGUCCAUUUGCUUGAUAUUGUUGAGGUUUGGAUUUUUGCCAUUUGAUAAGGGACUUUCUGUUUUGAAUUUUCGUCGGAGCUCGGUAUUUUAGUGAAAUAAUUUUUUGAUACUUCUGAGUAAUGGCAAGUUGACAAUUUGAAAAAAUGAAAUCACGAUAGUUAUAAAUGUUUUGGUUAAAGUCGUAUACCUUUGUCAGUAUAAUAUAUAAGAUCAAUUUAUGAAGUAGAUUUUCUAGUUUCGAUGAUAGCUUUAAUACUUAGAAACAUCUUUCAUUUUCUUUACAGGAGAUGUUUUGUUUCUCCAUUCCAAUACACUACACUACAGCAGUCCGAAUCGUAGUAAGAUGAGAAGGAUUGGAUUCCUCAUGUGUUACAACAAAGCCUCUAAUGAAUCCGUCAUGGAACAUCAUCAUGCUCAAUAUACCCCCAUACAGAAGGU